GGGUUGUGAGGUUAAGCGACUAAGCGUACACGGUGGAUGCCCUGGCAGUCAGAGGCGAUGAAGGACGUGCUAAUCUGCGAUAAGCGUCGGUAAGGUGAUAUGAACCGUUAUAACCGGCGAUUUCCGAAUGGGGAAACCCAGUGUGAUUCGUCACACUAUCAUUAACUGAAUCCAUAGGUUAAUGAGGCGAACCGGGGGAACUGAAACAUCUAAGUACCCCGAGGAAAAGAAAUCAACCGAGAUUCCCCCAGUAGCGGCGAGCGAACGGGGAGCAGCCCAGAGCCUGAAUCAGUGUGUGUGUUAGUGGAAGCGUCUGGAAAGGCGUGCGAUACAGGGUGACAGCCCCGUACACAAAAAUGCACAUAUUGUGAGCUCGAUGAGUAGGGCGGGACACGUGGUAUCCUGUCUGAAUAUGGGGGGACCAUCCUCCAAGGCUAAAUACUCCUGACUGACCGAUAGUGAACCAGUACCGUGAGGGAAAGGCGAAAAGAACCCCGGCGAGGGGAGUGAAAAAGAACCUGAAACCGUGUACGUACAAGCAGUGGGAGCACGCUUAGGCGUGUGACUGCGUACCUUUUGUAUAAUGGGUCAGCGACUUAUAUUCUGUAGCAAGGUUAACCGAAUAGGGGAGCCGAAGGGAAACCGAGUCUUAACUGGGCGUUAAGUUGCAGGGUAUAGACCCGAAACCCGGUGAUCUAGCCAUGGGCAGGUUGAAGGUUGGGUAACACUAACUGGAGGACCGAACCGACUAAUGUUGAAAAAUUAGCGGAUGACUUGUGGCUGGGGGUGAAAGGCCAAUCAAACCGGGAGAUAGCUGGUUCUCCCCGAAAGCUAUUUAGGUAGCGCCUCGUGAAUUCAUCUCCGGGGGUAGAGCACUGUUUCGGCAAGGGGGUCAUCCCGACUUACCAACCCGAUGCAAACUGCGAAUACCGGAGAAUGUUAUCACGGGAGACACACGGCGGGUGCUAACGUCCGUCGUGAAGAGGGAAACAACCCAGACCGCCAGCUAAGGUCCCAAAGUCAUGGUUAAGUGGGAAACGAUGUGGGAAGGCCCAGACAGCCAGGAUGUUGGCUUAGAAGCAGCCAUCAUUUAAAGAAAGCGUAAUAGCUCACUGGUCGAGUCGGCCUGCGCGGAAGAUGUAACGGGGCUAAACCAUGCACCGAAGCUGCGGCAGCGACACUAUGUGUUGUUGGGUAGGGGAGCGUUCUGUAAGCCUGCGAAGGUGUGCUGUGAGGCAUGCUGGAGGUAUCAGAAGUGCGAAUGCUGACAUAAGUAACGAUAAAGCGGGUGAAAAGCCCGCUCGCCGGAAGACCAAGGGUUCCUGUCCAACGUUAAUCGGGGCAGGGUGAGUCGACCCCUAAGGCGAGGCCGAAAGGCGUAGUCGAUGGGAAACAGGUUAAUAUUCCUGUACUUGGUGUUACUGCGAAGGGGGGACGGAGAAGGCUAUGUUGGCCGGGCGACGGUUGUCCCGGUUUAAGCGUGUAGGCUGGUUUUCCAGGCAAAUCCGGAAAAUCAAGGCUGAGGCGUGAUGACGAGGCACUACGGUGCUGAAGCAACAAAUGCCCUGCUUCCAGGAAAAGCCUCUAAGCAUCAGGUAACAUCAAAUCGUACCCCAAACCGACACAGGUGGUCAGGUAGAGAAUACCAAGGCGCUUGAGAGAACUCGGGUGAAGGAACUAGGCAAAAUGGUGCCGUAACUUCGGGAGAAGGCACGCUGAUAUGUAGGUGAAGCGACUUGCUCGUGGAGCUGAAAUCAGUCGAAGAUACCAGCUGGCUGCAACUGUUUAUUAAAAACACAGCACUGUGCAAACACGAAAGUGGACGUAUACGGUGUGACGCCUGCCCGGUGCCGGAAGGUUAAUUGAUGGGGUCAGCGCAAGCGAAGCUCUUGAUCGAAGCCCCGGUAAACGGCGGCCGUAACUAUAACGGUCCUAAGGUAGCGAAAUUCCUUGUCGGGUAAGUUCCGACCUGCACGAAUGGCGUAAUGAUGGCCAGGCUGUCUCCACCCGAGACUCAGUGAAAUUGAACUCGCUGUGAAGAUGCAGUGUACCCGCGGCAAGACGGAAAGACCCCGUGAACCUUUACUAUAGCUUGACACUGAACAUUGAGCCUUGAUGUGUAGGAUAGGUGGGAGGCUUGGAAGUGUGGACGCCAGUCUGCAUGGAGCCGACCUUGAAAUACCACCCUUUAAUGUUUGAUGUUCUAACGUGGACCCGUGAUCCGGGUUGCGGACAGUGUCUGGUGGGUAGUUUGACUGGGGCGGUCUCCUCCUAAAGAGUAACGGAGGAGCACGAAGGUUGGCUAAUCCUGGUCGGACAUCAGGAGGUUAGUGCAAUGGCAUAAGCCAGCUUGACUGCGAGCGUGACGGCGCGAGCAGGUGCGAAAGCAGGUCAUAGUGAUCCGGUGGUUCUGAAUGGAAGGGCCAUCGCUCAACGGAUAAAAGGUACUCCGGGGAUAACAGGCUGAUACCGCCCAAGAGUUCAUAUCGACGGCGGUGUUUGGCACCUCGAUGUCGGCUCAUCACAUCCUGGGGCUGAAGUAGGUCCCAAGGGUAUGGCUGUUCGCCAUUUAAAGUGGUACGCGAGCUGGGUUUAGAACGUCGUGAGACAGUUCGGUCCCUAUCUGCCGUGGGCGCUGGAGAACUGAGGGGGGCUGCUCCUAGUACGAGAGGACCGGAGUGGACGCAUCACUGGUGUUCGGGUUGUCAUGCCAAUGGCACUGCCCGGUAGCUAAAUGCGGAAGAGAUAAGUGCUGAAAGCAUCUAAGCACGAAACUUGCCCCGAGAUGAGUUCUCCCUGACUCCUUGAGAGUCCUGAAGGAACGUUGAAGACGACGACGUUGAUAGGCCGGGUGUGUAAGCGCAGCGAUGCGUUGAGCUAACCGGUACUAAUGAACCGUGAGGCUUAACCUUACAACGCCGAAG
rnacentral:rRNA from 1 species